UACGUAGGGUGCAAGCGUUAAUCGGAAUUAUUGGGCGUAAAGCGUGCGCAGGCGGUUUUGUAAGUCUGUCGUGAAAUCCCCGGGCUCAACCUGGGAAUUGCGAUGGAGACUGCAAGGCUAGAAUCUGGCAGAGGGGGGUAGAAUUCCACGUGUAGCAGUGAAAUGCGUAGAUAUCGGGAGGAACACCUGUGGCGAAGGCGGCCCCCCUGGUUGGAUACUGACGCUGAUACGCGAAAGCGUGGGGAGCAAACAGG
rnacentral:rRNA from 1 species